rnacentral:lncRNA from 1 species
ACCUCAGAUCCCUUUUUCGUUCAGUUUUCUAUCUAAUCAUCUUGAUUCUCUCUUCUCCACUCAGUUAUUCACUUCUUGAACAAAUAUUCCCUGAGCAUCAGCAGGAGACAGAAUGUGAAGAACUAGAGGAGGAACCAGACAUGCCCUCAGGAACUCACAGUCUGGUGGACUUUCCACUCCUGGUAAAUCUCAGCCCUCUGAGCCACCAGUCCUUCACCUCCUACUGUCCCCUGGGAAGACUUCCUCCAGACCUGAAACACUCCUGCUACAUCACCUCAGGUCUCUGGACAACCAGAACCCCAAAAAUGACACAAAGUGCUCAGGGGCUCAGGUCUGGAAGGCUUCAGAUGCAGGAGGUAUCAUUCUACAUUUUGUUUUUGGAAUGUAAGUUUCUACUGUCAGGGACUCCGUGCCACACUUUGGAUAUCAAGUAAUCCUAAGGGAAAAAGAAAAGUAAAGACACCAAGGAAAUUUGUUAAUUAAAGGAAACUGUCGCACAG